GAGCCGAGCAGCCAUGCCGCGUGUAUGAAGAAGGCCUUCGGGUUGUAAAGUACUUUCAGCGAGGAGGAAGGCAUAUAAGGUUAAUAACCUUAGUGAUUGACGUUACCCGCAGAAGAAGCACCGGCUAACUCCGUGCCAGCAGCCGCGGUAAUA
rnacentral:rRNA from 1 species